rnacentral:misc_RNA from 1 species
CAAAACAUAAAACAUUUGUAGUUUCUUCUAUAUUCUUAUAAUCUAACAAAAGAAAACUGGCGCUUUCAGAUUUUUGCAGAGUUUAUAUAAAUAAAUAAGCAAACUUUUCGUCUUAAGAGAAUUAAGCUUUCCUGAGAAACUUGCCACCAAGUAGAAUGCUGGUUAAAGUAUCUUGAAGUUUUCUCUCCUACUAAGAGGAGCCUGCGAAGUUCUGUGUCAUCCUUUCUUCCGUUAAUUACAGUUCAUCUCCUAAACUCAUUUAUUAGCCUUCACCAACCUUGAUCCUUUGUUCAAGCUUUUACUUCCCUUUUGUCUUCCCUUUCUUACGAUCAUGUCUGACAACUCUCUUAAUGAUAUUAUCAAUAUGAAUGAAGCGUUGAGUUGCGAGGAGCCCUCUUUGGAAUUGUUCUGCACAACAGAGGAAGGACAACAGUUUACGGCCAAAAAACUGUUGGUAAAGGUUCUUGGCUCCAAGAAAUUUAACCCAUGGGUAUUAAAGUCGACGAUGAGUAAAGUGUGGGAUUUGCAAGCCGAUUUUUCAGUUAAAAGAGGGUCGGAGGGGACUUUCAUCUUCAACUUUGAAGAAGUAAGGGAUUUGGGUAAGGUAUGUGACGAAGGACCAUGGUCCAUUGAUAAUAAUUUGCUGAUUUUCAAGAAGUGGCCACCAGAUAAGUCAGUCCAAGAGAUAGAUUUUUCUAUUGAAGGGUUUUGGAUCCAAGUAUUGGGUCUUCCGCCAAAUAACUGGAAUCUAGAGAACGCGAAGAGAAUAGGAUGUUUGUUUGCGGGGCUCAUUGAAGUGGAUAGGAAUAUCGUACAAGUAACAGAAGGGUUGCUUGGGUUCAGGAUCAAGGUAUGGGUUGAUCUCCGAAAGCCUUUGGUGAUAGGCUUCCAUAAUGAUAGGGAGGGAGAAAGGAAGGAAUGGGUAAGAAUAAAGUAUGAGAGACUGCCUUAUUUUUGUUUCUAUUGUGGAAGAAUUGGGCGUAUUGUUAAAUUCUGUACAGAUUGGGCUACUUUAAACGUGUUCAAGAAGGAGAAGAAACUGGACGUUUCAAGUAUGGAAUGUGGCUUGCUACAAAAACCCCAAAUUUCACCAAGAGUCUGUCUCGAAGGUUAUCUGCAAAUUCCCAAAUCCAGUUAUCUUCGUUGGAAGGAAGAUCCUCUUCUAUAAAAGCAAGCUUGUCCAUUAUUCCCUACCAAAAACAAAACUCUCCAGAAAAUCGAUCAACUAACCGGAACUCUCCGGAACGUGUUCCAUACACGCCUUCCCCCUCUGCUCAGGCCCCGACCCUCACAAGCAACAUUAAUUACAAAGAUAAACCUGUCUAACCUGUGUCAGGCACUCAGGAUUUGGCAGCCAACAAAUCAACUCUGUUUUCUAUACAAGAAACCUUUUCUCAAACAAAAAAUGAAAAAGGGAAGAAAAUUCAGAUCUACAGCCUUGUGCCACCUACAGAAGCUUUUUCUGAAGAAUGGCAUAAUGACGGCGGUAUUCAACAAUUAGAGGAAGCUUCUAGCAAGAGUAUUAAUGGAUAGGGCAGUUCUGGGUUGACAACACACAUCUCCGAAAAUUAUCAAGGGUCAGAGAAUGGAAGAAAGAGCCAAGGAUAGAAUAUAGAGAGUGAAGAGGAAAAGGAUUUAAUUUUGGGCCAGAAGAGAAGCUUUUCAGUGUUCGCAAGCCCACUUCAUGUGGACCCGACAAACCCUCUCCAAUCUUCUACAGCAUGGCAGUCCCGAAAGAAGUUCUUUAUGUCGGGUAUAUCAAAUUUGGAGCUUAAUGGGCCUAAUUCAAAGCAAGAUGUUGCUGUUGACCCUAAGCCUUUGGACUUCUUGGUUCAUAUGGCUUGUAAUUUAUUCAAGCCUAACUCUAUUUUUGCUGGGCCUCAAUCGAAGGAGAUUCUAAACUUACUAAGUGACUGUUUGGAUUAACUGUUGAAUAC